UCUGUAGCCCAGAAAGGAUCCUUCCCACUAAGGGGGCCAUAGACACUGGAUUUCUACAAAUCAGAUACAUAAUAUUUCUCUUAAAAUUGAGGUCAUCUGGUCAAGAUUCCGAACCAGACACAUCGCAGGUUGCCCUGACACAACCAGAAAGGGCAGUCCCUGCCUGGUGGAGACCCCGGCUCCCUGUGUGAGAAUGUCGAGUCCACUCGUCAGUCCCCAGCUCCCGGACCCCGUGAGUCUCUCCCUCCUCUUCAGGCCCUCGGCCCUGGCUCUGUGCCUCUCCUGAAAUCUCUGCCCCCAGCCUCACAUUACAGCUCUCUGGAACCAGGCCACCGUGCAGGAAACCCCUGGAGGAGACAAACAUUGAUGAGCCUCAAAUUGUUAUAUUAAUUGAAUCAUUUCUUGAGUGAUUUCUGGUCUAAAAGCUCCCUAAGAGAAGACAGAAGACAGUCUCUGUUUUUCACUCCCCACACUGCUCCCAACACACCCUUCCACGUGCAUUUCCUCAGGAAUUUUGGACGGCUCUUUGGAGAAGACAGCCAACAUACCUUACAGUGUAUGAAAUGAUGCACAGAAAUAACCAAAACCACUGUCCUUCCAGGGGAGCUGCUCCUGCCCCACAGAAAGCAGGAUGAGCAAUCAGGAGGUUGUCACGGAGUUGCCAUCGCUGUGGCCCAGGGAUCAAAAAGUGGCUGUAACUGCCCUCUGACAUCUGCAAAGCUGGGGAUUGGACAUCAGACCAUGGCUGCAGCAAAAUUCGACAGUUGACAAUGCAGGAAGAUUCUCUCCAUCGUGCUUCUACCUUUGAAAUCCAAAACCAGUACGUGAAAUUUAUGUAAUGUAAUUUGUACUUAGAACCAGAGCUGUAAGGACUCUGUGAAUUCAUUACAGUGUUGUGGGCUGUGUCAUACAGGAAGACAUCCCAGAAGGAAUUUAGGGAUUGAGUGGCAAUUUAAGAUUUCCACCGCAGAGCACGUUAUCAGAUAACACAGCACUGAAUUCCCAUGGCUGCGAGGCACUGUUGAGGCCCGCGGCAAACCGUCAGCUCGAUCAAUGGAUGGCCGCCUCCAGUGCUUUAUGAAGAGGUAUGAUUAUUCAAUGUUAUUCAACAUGCUCCAUUGGAAUCGCUACACAAACAGGGGCUAAGGGAAAAGAAACUUGGAUUGCAGAUUUUCUUAAAUUGUCUACAUCAUCUCUUGCUAAAAGCUUGUUUGUCUCACGAGGUUACAUACUGUCAACAGAUAUGAGAGAGCUGCCUUGAUGAAAUAUGUUCUAAGGACAAAAAGAUAAAACAGGAAUUAGCAACAUUUUUUUCUGUGUCAACAGAGACUAGAAAAUAAUUCAGCAUAAUAAUAUGGGGAAAUGCUUAUGAUACCAUAUUAAUUUUAAAAGGAUGCAAAAUUACAUACAGCAUGAUCACAAUAUAUCAUAAAACAACAAAAAUCUUACCGGUAAUCAAAGAAUAAUGAGAUGCCACUUAUUACCCAUCAGAUUGGCAAAAAUUAAAAAGACUGACAAUAUCCAGGGUUGGGGAUUGUGGGAGGAAAUGAAUAGUCUCGUGCAAUUUAGAUUUGAGUGUAAAUUGCCCAGAAUUCUUGCCAAGUUGUCUGAUAUCAAAAGAAUGGGUCUGACCUGCUUUGUGACGGUCAGCCAGGACUAUGUGAAAGCCAGAGGGACUCUCAGGAAAGUUCUACCUUCUAAAAAUUAACUCUACACAGCCUCAUUAAAAACCUGCUCACUCUCGGUGGAAGUAACUCAACCCUAGAUCUCCUCUUCCCAGUAAUGGAAAAACAUAACAGUAGAAGCUAUCAUGGUGCAACUCAAGUGCACAAUGCCUGGGCAUAGCAACGAACAAAUUAUAGGCACUGUUAUAAAGAUUGCCAAUCUCCCAUACGCUUCAUCACAAUAUUCUUUUAUUUUCUUCAUAGCCUUAAAUAUUAAUUGAAAUCAUUUUAAAGUUUUAUAUAUAUACAUAUAUGUCUUUUGUACUGAAAUUAGGGCCCUCUAUCUUGCAGAGACACCCCAUUCCCUUGGAGAAGUUCUUAGAUGACACAUUAGAUAUUCACCAAGACUUCCUGAAUGACUGAAUAAAUGCUACCUAUGCCAUUAAUUUUCCAGGGAGGUUGUGGUCCUGCGCAGGAUAAAGUUUG